AUGACUGCUGAAUAGAGCAUUGAAAACACUCGGAUUGUCUGCGAGUUGUUUGUCGAGCAAGUGAAUGCUGGAAAUAGGCCAGGCAAUUAUUUGACACCAAAUGCAUUUGAUGAGGUGACAAGGCAAUUUAAGAUGAGAACUGGGCUUGACUACACACAUACGCAAUUGAAAAACAAAUGGGACAAGCUUAAAUGUGAAUUCAGCAUAUUCAAGAAACUCAAGUUCUGGGAGACCGGAGCCGGAUGGGACUAUGUGAAAAACACUGUGUCACAAGAUGAUGAAUGGUGGAAAAAGGCUAAGAUUGAUAUUAAAGGUUGUGGCAAGUUCAAGAAGAAAGGACUUGCUAAUGAACAAAACUUGCGAACUAUGUUUGGAGAUAUCACAACUUCGGGCACUGACCAUUGGAAUCCCUCUUCGGGCAUGCCUCCUCCCUCUAGUGCGGCAGUGAAAGCCAACAUCAAUGUUGAUGAGGUCGAAGAUCUUGAUUUGGAUGAUACGGAACAAGCAUCUCAGGCAACACUUACUUCAUCUAAAGUGAGGCUUGGAAUCAUCAUUCUGGACAAGAACAAGAAACCCAAGACCUCACAAGUGAUGUGUGAGCAAGUUACAAGGAUUGGUGACAUUGCCGAGGCUUCUCACUCAUCAUUUCAGUCUUUCCUAAAGCAAGAUGAGGUGAACUGUGUCACCUCAGUUAUGGAUGAAGUCAUUGCUUGUGGUGCAGCACCUAAUACCGACGAGUUCUUCAUGGCUACCGAGUUGUUCGUGAAGAGGAUGCAAAGGGAGAUGUUUCUUUAUAUGCCUCUUGAGUCCCGAAAGGGUUGGUUGCACGGGAAGUAUGACUUGAAGUAUGGGAAGUGGUUAAUUUACCGUGUGAUGGUCGGCUAUCCUUUGCUAUCAAAACUAUUUGUGUCUAUGUUGUUGAACCUAAUGCUUGAUACCAUUCUAUCUAUUUAUGUAAGCACUGUGGAACCAUAUUUAUGUCUAUGUUGUUGA
rnacentral:rRNA from 1 species